UACUUUGCCAGGGAUGAAGGUAGCUCUGGGGAACAUGUACCUAAUAUGGCAACAACUAUUACUCUGACCUUCCCCCAUCCUGUCUCAGGAAUACAGCUGGCAUUGCACGAGAAGAUCUGUAAGGAAGAAUUACGUCAAGAAAAGCAGCAGACACAAGAACAUGGCAGAUUCAGGCAGAGAUGAAGAUGGAGCAGAGAAGCCAAGUCAGACUGCACUUGGUACUUCUCUGGUUGCUUCAAGAAAAUACCUGGUGGAAGCAGGAGGGAUUGUUUUUACAAUCCAUCAUGGCGGCCAGAUGCCACAGAGAGAAGAUCCCAGAGUGUCUGGUCUUGUUACAUCCACAGUCAGGGAGAGAUGAAUGAUGCUAUUCUCCUCCUUUUUAUUCAGUCUGGGAUCUCGGGCCAUAGAAUGGCACCACACACAUUUAAGCCUUCAUCCAAGUUGAGAGCUUAAGCAACCCGAUAGCAGGUGUCAUCUCUUCCGUUCGUCACUGUGUGGCAUCUUGAGGACUACGUUCUGAAUAAGUGUUCACUGUCCAUUAACAUUCCUGCUGCUGCUGGUUCUCCUGGAGCUGGCUAAUGGGCCACAGAACAACUGCAGCUCCUAAGUGACAAGGCACUUCUUAUCCAAGUGGUGCCUGGGGUCCCUCUUGAAGACACCAAAUCACACCACCCUGCAUUUCACCACACUUCUCCGUCGCAAACUCAAGGUUGCGUGCCUUUCUCCAGGGUUCGUUCAACUGCUUCAGAGGGAGGUCAGAGAAGCCUUCCUAGGUCUGAGUCCUGCUUGAGGAAGGACUUAGAUCAGUCUUCAUGUAUCUCUGGAUAUGCCAGGAUCAUCAAUGAAGCUGUAACACAGAAGCCUCGGAGUGGGGUCCACAGCCGUCGGAGACAGUUAAGGAUGUGUGCCUCUGAUGACGACUUUGGAAUGAGACCAGAUGCAAAUCAGUAAACUUCACCAACUGUUUGAAAGCAGAGAGUACAGGCCAUGUGGAAAACGAGAGAAAACCACGUUUCCCUUGGUCUUCUUCUAAAAUUCUGGGAAGGAAAGCUGAUAUCCACUAGUGAAUAAAAACGCUGUGUCCACACUGUU
rnacentral:lncRNA from 1 species